UGGGGAAUAUUGCACAAUGGGCGAAAGCCUGAUGCAGCAACGCCGCGUGAGUGAUGAAGGCCUUCGGGUUGUAAAGCUCUGUCUUUUGGGACGAUAAUGACGGUACCAAAGGAGGAAGCCACGGCUAACUACGUGCCAGCAGCCGCGGUAAUACGUAGGUGGCAAGCGUUGUCCGGAUUUACUGGGCAUAAAGGAUGCGUAGGCGGAUUUUUAAGUGAGAUGUGAAAUACCCGGGCUUAACUUGGGUGCUGCAUUUCAAACUGGGAAUCUAGAGUGCGGGAGAGGAGAAUGGAAUUCCUAGUGUAGCGGUGAAAUGCGUAGAGAUUAGGAAGAACACCAGUGGCGAAGGCGAUUCUCUGGACCGUAACUGACGCUGAGGCAUGAAAGCGUGGGUAGCAAACAGGAUUAGAUACCCUGGUAGUCCACGCCGUAAACGAUGAGUACUAGGUGUAGGAGGUAUCGACCCCUUCUGUGCCGCAGUUAACACAAUAAGUACUCCGCCUGGGAAGUACGAUCGCAAGAUU
rnacentral:rRNA from 1 species